CCUACGGGCGGCAGCAGUGAGGAAUAUUGGUCAAUGGGCGCGAGCCUGAACCAGCCAAGUAGCGUGAAGGAUGACUGCCCUACGGGUUGUAAACUUCUUUUAUAAAGGAAUAAAGUGAGCCACGUGUGCCUUUUUGUAUGUACUUUAUGAAUAAGGAUCGGCUAACUCCGUGCCAGCAGCCGCGGUAAUACGGAGGAUCCGAGCGUUAUCCGGAUUUAUUGGGUUUAAAGGGUGCAUAGGUGGGUUGAUAAGUCAGUUGUGAAAGUUUGCGGCUCAACCGUAAAAUUGCAAUUGAUACUGGCUGUCUUGAGUACAGUUGAGGUAGGCGGAAUUCGUGGUGUAGCGGUGAAAUGCUUAGAUAUCACGAAGAACUCCGAUUGCGAAGGCAGCUUACUAAACUGCAACUGACAUUGAUGCUCGAAAGUGUGGGUAUCAAACAGGAUUAGAUACCCCAGUAGUC
rnacentral:rRNA from 1 species